UCUUAUAAAAUCCAUUUGCCGUUCGGAGGCGGCAUAAAACUGCAGGUCCGUCCAUUUGUGCUAUAACAUCAAGGCGCACACAACAAAUUGAAGGAGAAGCUGGCCAAAUACUUGGCAAAAAGUAAGCGCCAAAAAUAUUAUUUAUUAUUACUUAAAUAAAAAGAGUCAUUAAUUCGUCUCAUUGCAUUUUAAGUGGCCAAAUUGUUUGUCAUUUCCUAGUCGAAAUCCAGCCUAGUGAAUAUAAUGACCACUUUUUAUUAAUCUAAUGGCAAGAGGAAUAUUUAAUGCCCAAACAUUUGCAUUAAAUUUUUUGUCAUUUAAUACCGAGUGGAAAUCUGGUAUUAGACUACUAGCAACUUAUUAAAUAUAUGUAAUAUCCUAUCUAUUUACUCAAAAUGUCCUGGAUUUAUAGGCAUUCUUUUUUUCUAAAAAUUCUAAUUACGCUUUACUUUAAAAAAUGUGCGCAAAAAUUCCAAUCAAAUCAAAAUUCUUGUAUGCUACAAUAUUCAUAACUUCUUUUAUCAACAUUUUUGUAGAAAUUGUUUAAAUUGAAGCUAUUUUCAUUUUUUUUUUUGAAUUGAGAAUUUCUAGUUAUUGAUGAGAUGAAAAAAAAAUAAAUAAAAAAGUAAACAAUUAUCAGUUUGCGAGAAGAGUCACUCAGAUAUAAAUUUGUGCUUCACUCUAUUCCUACCUUCGAUACUUUCCACUUUCAAAGAAAUCAAUAGCGAUUGAACAGUCUGUGAUGCGGUGUAAACUCGCCCUAAGCAAAGUCAUUUCACUAGCACGACACAUCAUUCAUAAAAAUAGCAUCACUAGAUUUUUGCAUUUGAAAAUAAAAUACCAUCUUUCGCUCAUAUUUAGCAUAAGAGGUAAAAGUAUAAAAAAAAUUUAAAAUCCGAUUUGCCGCUUGCCUAUUUAGUGUCUAGAAAACACAUAUCCUUUUUUGGUGCUGGUCUCUUUCUCUAUUUACCUAACGUUACACGCUUCCACAACAAAACACUGUAAAUUGUCCAAUUAGCCAAGUCGCCCGGUGCCGAAUGCGCCACCCAAGCUGCCAGAACGACCUUCAUACUAUGGCAACACUACAAAUGGACGUCCAUUUUGAGGAGGCAUACAAAAUGGCGGCUGUGCCAUGUAGAGGAACUCGUGUCGUACGAGUGGAUUCCACCGCUUUUGUUGGUGUUCGUAUACAACAAUAUUAGACUUAAAAUAUUAACAAUAGAAAAAACUAAAAAAAAAAAAAUAAUAUUAAAUCGAUAACAAUGACAAACACACGCCUGAUUAAACUUAGUGUUUAGUUAAAGAAGGGAAACGAAAAAUUUAAAUGUAACACAAAAAAAGCGACCAUUUUUCUUCGAGUAUUUUUUUUUUUGUUGCCCGAAUUUUGUGAAUGGACCAGAGCGAUGGCAUAAUUUUGUUGUGAAGUUGAAUUGUAAUGUAAAAUGGGCAGUUUUUCUUAAAAAAAAAAAGACCACAGGUUUCGUUCAAUUUCAGAUAGUCAAGUCCCAGAUUCCAAAUUUGUUAUGAAUUGUUCUCGAGAAGUGCCUAAAUUAGUGAGAUUUCGCCGUAAAAAUUGCUUUAAAAAAAUUAAAUCUCCACUUAAGUGACUAUCCCAAAUUUUAACCUUACCUUAUUUAUAACUGCUGGCUCGACUCAAAUAUGCAUAAAUGAAAUUUUGGAUAAAAUGUCAAUUAGCUUUCGAACAUGGCGUAAAAAUUUAUUAAAAUAAAAUUUCUUACAAAUAUGUAAAUAAUAACAAAGUUACCUACGUAAAAUUAAAAAUAAAUAGGUAUUAAAAUGUGUUCGAAAGUUAUGUAGAUGAAUAGAUAUGUAGCUAAGUUUUGGCAGCUCUCCUCUUACCCGUUUCCCCAGCGAAAUUUGUAGUUUCCCAAUUCUUUGUAAAUAUUUAAAAAAA